GGGGGUGUUCUGGCUUCGACGGGGGUAGUGAGAUUGUCUGGUGCAUGCCGAGGGGGUGACUUUCCUCGUUAAUCCAGUCGCAAACUUUUAGUUGCCAACGACGACAACUACGCUCUCGCCGCUUAAGGCGUAGCCCCGAACCCACUUGUGCCUGUGCUCGUGGAUGUAGGGUCAUUAUCACGGGAUCGCUCCUGUCCGCCGCCUGUCGGCCAGCAGCUAAAACAAUCAGGCUGGUUCCCCGGCGCGCUUCGCACAUCGUGCUGUCGACGGAACGAGAUCCAACGGUGAGCUAAGCAUGUAGUACUGGAGGUCAAGCGCCUUCGGACGCGGGUUCGACUCCCGCCACCUCCACCA
rnacentral:tmRNA from 1 species